CCCAAUUGAGUGGACGGAUUUACCCCUGCACACAUACAGAUCAGACGGAGAGGAUCAAUUCAGACGCCGCCGUAGAGAGGAGCCCAGCGCCGCCGCUUCCACGCCGAGCAGCCUCCGCCGUCCGCCGACGCCUUCGUGGCUUGGAAAUCCUCCAUGGCAGCCUCUGCCGUUGCCGCGGCCAUCUUCCUCCGCCUCCGCCAAGUCCGCCGCAUAUGGCCGCCCUCGCAUCUCGAGUCGCUCAGUCGCCCCGCCCCAUCCUCAUCCUCUCGGGCCGGAGGCCCCCCGCCGGCCGGCCACCGCCCGCCGCUACCACCGGCUGAGUGACUGACCGGGACUGAUUUUAGGCAUUUAGCCAUUCGCCGACGACAGGCUAUUCAUAUUGCUGGGACCAAGGGGAAAUGUUCAACUGCUGCAUUCCUGUCCAAUAUCAUGAGGGAGCAAGGCUAUAGUGUAGGAUGCUAUACUAGGUACUGCACUGCAUUUCUGUGAUUUUUAAUCAUUUUUUCUAGUUGGAAAACGUAUUCAGAAUUUUGUAACACAAAGGACACAUAUAUGCUUCUUUUCACGAAAAUAUUGUUAAGUGUAGGGACUAUAAUCUAUUAGCGUGUUGUUCUCUGUCAUCCUGAGUUAUGUUUCAAACAUUUAAUCACCGUAUCUAGAUUGUAGAAUUACUGUUAAGUCUUUCAAGAAAAUAUUGUUAAGUGUGUUCUGUUGAA